AAGAAACCCAAGCCAGUGCAAACAAUUCAAAAAAUAAUGGAACCCGAAGACAGCGAACCUUCCAGGGAUGCUAUGGACAUUUAUCCCCUCUGCUAACAUUUAUGUUUCUGUAGUUGAGGUUCAGUUAUAUCACAGUUUAGACAACUCCCUAGAAACAAUGAUCCCUGUUAAAGCUGCUCCAGGAGCACAGGAAUUCCUUUGAUGAGCUCUAAGAGAUUGGUAACAAUACCUCCUGAAGGGCCGUGUUGCUAGGUAACAGCUUGUUUCCUUGGUCACAGUGAAUCCGUGGAAGACCCCCAAAAGAGGCUGCAGAUUCUUAGUGGACAGCUCUCAUAUCCCCUCCAGGGAAAAUGAUGAAAAAUGUCUUCAGAAAAAUAGCUUUAUGAAGGCAAGAGGACUUUUUGCACCUGCAAGACAUGUCUGAAAGCUCCUCAGGUCAAAACACAAGUAGUCAAGAGAUUUGUCCAUCUAAUUCAUCAUACUACUCUGAUCCAAGUGAGACCCACACUGGGUCAGCUCCAUCAAGGAGAAGAACAUUCCACCCACGUUUGGAUUCUGGAAUAUCAUCCUUGCUUCCAUCAGAUUCUUGUAAGUACCUCACUUGGCACAAGGUAGACAUGACGUUCAAGGAAGUCAACUGCGUUGCCCAAGAGUAAGAGAAGGAAUCUCUGAAGAAGAGCAACUUUUCAGACAGGUAGAGUGUGCCUUGCUCCCAAGGAAAAGAGUUCUUGAAAAAAACAAAUGGGAAACAUGGCUACAAGAAAACUGGGAAGACUGCAAGAAAAUCUCAGAAUCUGCUUGAGAAUCCGGUCCUUCUUCCUCCAUACACCCAUGGAACACUCCCAAACUCUGUAUGCUGCUCACUAAUUCUGAUUAAGGUCUUCACCCUCCCUACCUUGGAAAUUGCUACAACAUAAUUGUGUUU
rnacentral:lncRNA from 1 species